ensembl:lincRNA
GGGAAUUUGGAGAAUUGGUUGUUGAAAAAAUCUACAUAUUUUUUGUCAGAAUUGCUAGGAGUAAAAUCAACAGAAGUAAAGGGAGCUACAUAGCAGUUAAUAUUUUCAAUUUAAUUUGAAAUAUAGACUAUUAAAUCUAAGUCAACUAUGAAAAGUUAACUACAUAUAGUGUAAUACCUCAAGCACUACUUUCAGACUAUACAGAGAGACAAAGGAAUGAGUGAAUGAAUAAAAAUAAAAUACUAGAAUGUGUUUAAAUAAUCCAAAAGAAGAUAGGAAAGGGGAAAUAAUGAAAAUCAGAAAGCAAAACAAAUUACAAAUAGUAAAGCAAAAAUAUAUCGAUAAUUACAUUGAAUAGGGGAUCUGUGAUCAUUAAUUGUAAUGUGUCAGCUUGAAUGGAUUAAGAAAUGCCCAAUUACUGAAACACAUUUCUGGGUGUAUGGGUGAAUGAUUCACAUAUAGGAUGCAAAUAGAGUAGGCAAUGAACAAUAGACUUUUGGCUUGGGUGGAAUAAAAAGGAAGACAAGAAGAAAACCUUCCCUUGUUUGCUUCUUUGCAGGAGCUGUGGUCUUCACCAUUCUCUUUGAACAUUCAUCUCCACUUCCUUUAGGCUUCUAGCAGACUAUUUAGCUAUUCAAAACCAGAUCUUCCAGCUUUGACAUGCACUUGCACUGAACUCUGUGUGUGCAGGAGGAAUAAAAUUUGUGGUGAGGCAGUUUACCACACUGGCCUCCAGGAGGGUGAAGAAAGAGCACGCAUCCGCGUGGGAAGGAGCUGUGCAGUGACCCUGAGAACAUCGGAGGGACCUACGCCUGCGCCGUCUAAUCCACACGAAGAGGGUCUGUGUCUUCACCCUGGUGACAGGAAUCUGAAAUUUAAGAGAAAAACUCUGUGACCUCUGGCUUGUGCCGUGAAGCAGAAAUCUACUUCUUUGUUGGUAAGUUUUUGUUUCGUCUUGCAAUUUAGAAAAAAAUAUUUUUUGGUACUGGGGAUCGAACUCGGGUCCUUGUGCUUGCAAGGCAGGUGGCAGAGUCACUGAUCUAAAUCCCUGGCCC